UACGUAGGGUGCAAGCGUUGUCCGGAAUUAUUGGGGGUAAAGAGCUCGUAGGCGGUUUGUCGCGUCUGCUGUGAAAUCCGGAGGCUCAACCUCCGGCCUGCAGUGGGUACGGGCAGACUAGAGUGCGGUAGGGGAGAUUGGAAUUCCUGGUGUAGCGGUGGAAUGCGCAGAUAUCAGGAGGAACACCGAUGGCGAAGGCAGAUCUCUGGGCCGUAACUGACGCUGAGGAGCGAAAGCAUGGGGAGCGAACAGG
rnacentral:rRNA from 1 species